rnacentral:lncRNA from 10 species
UGAGCCAAGAUCGCGCCACUGCACUCCAGCCUGGGCGACAGAGCGAGACUCUGUCUCAGAAAAAAACAAAAAACAAAAAACAAACAACAAAAAAACCUUGUUUGUCAUUAUCACCCCACAGAUCUUUUUAGACAUUUUUUUCCUAAUCACCCCACAUGAAAAUUUAGUAACAUAGAUGUCCUGUAUAUUUGCUUAUAUACUAUAUGUAUAUCAGUGUUCUGCUGUGUUUUUUACAUUAAAAGAGUAAGAUUUUUUUCACCCCUCCCCCUGCCACAAACCAAUUUUUGUCCUUGUUGAGAAUGCAUGCCGUAAAGAAUAGGAAAACCUUCCAAUGGAAUCUCAUACAGUCUUUUAAGAAGAAUCAAGUUCCUUACUCAGAAGGGUGAGGCAAGAGGAUCAUUUGAGGCCAGCAGUUCGAAACCAGCCUGGGCAAUAUAGUGAGACCGCCCCCCCAUUUCUUAAAAAAAAAAUAGAAUGAAGUUCCAAUAAGAAAAUGACAACCACUCAAAAGAAAAAUGUGCAGGCCAGGUGCAGUGGCUCAGGCCUGUAAUCCCAGCACUUUGGGAGGCCGAGGCAGGCGGAUCAUGAGGUCAGAAGGUCAAGACCAUCCUGGCUAACGUGGUGAAACCCCAUCUCUACUAAAAAAUACAAAAAAUUAGCCAGGCGUGGUGGCAGGAGCCUGUAGUCCCAGCUACUCGGGAGGCUGAGGCAGGAAAAUGGCAUGAACCCAGGAGGUGGAGCUUGCAGUGAGCUGAGAUCGCGCCACUGCACUCUAGCCUGGGUGACAGAGCGAGACUCCAUCUCAAAAAAAAAUAAUAAUAAGUGCAAAGCCUGAGAAGGCAUAUUACAAAACAGGAAACACGAGCAUCCGACAAAUAGAUGAAGAGAUGUCCAACGUUGUUAGGAAUCCAGGACAUGUAUGAUAAAGUCACAGGCCCCUUUUUACUCCCCUUUCACUGCCCCCUAGUUUAAAAUGUCCAAUAAUAGCAAGUGUCAGAAGCCAUGGAUACACAAAGCUCUUCCACACUGCAGUCUCUCUGGAAGACAGACUGACAUCAGCCACAACGCUGAACAUGCAUGCACCAAGUAACAUAGCCUUUGCUCUCCUAGAUAAAUAUCCACAGGAAACAUGACCCAGGAUAUUUAUGACUGUGCUAUGCAAAAGGCAAAAACGGCCGGGCACAGUGGCUCAUGCCUAUAAUACUAGCACCUUGGGAGGCUGAGGCGGGCAGAUCACUUGAGGUCAGGAGUUCGAAGUAAUCCCAGCUACUUGGAAAGCUGAGGCAGGAGAACCUCUUAAACCCGGGAGGCGGAGAUUGCAGUGAGCCGAGAUCACGCCACUGCACUCUGCCCUGGGCGACAGAGUGAGACUCUGUCUCAAAUAAAUAAAUAAAUAAAUAAAAGACCUAGUUCAGCGGCGAGGCCUGUAGUCCCAGCUAUUCAGGAGGCUGAGGCAGGAGGAUCACCUGAGCCCGGGAGUUCCAGGCUGUAGUGUGCUGUGAUCAUGGCUAUGAAUGCUACUGCACUCCAGCCUAGGCAACUCAGUGAGACUCCAUCUCUAAAACAACAUAAUUUUCAAAAAUCUCAUAUAUGUAUUAUAUAUUAUAUGUACAUAUAUAAUAAUUAUUAUUAUUACUUUUUGAGAUAGGGUCUUAUUCUGUCUCCCAGGCUGGUGUGCAAUGGCAUGAUCAUGGCUCACUGCAGCCUCGACCUCCCAGGCUAAAGUGAUCCUCCCACUUCAGACUCCUGAGCCAUUGGGACCACAGGUGUGUCACCACUCCUGGCUAAAAAAAAAAAAAAAAAAAAAAAAAAAAGAUUUGUAGGCCAGGCAUGGUGGCUCACACCUGUAAUCUCAGUACUUUGGGAGGCUGAGGCAGGUGGAUCACCUGAGGUCAGGAGUUCAAGACCAGCCUGGCCAACAUGGUGAAACCCCAUCUCUACUAAAAAUACAAAAAUUAGCCAGGCGUGGUGGUGGUGGCAGGCGCCUGUAAUCACAGCUACUUGGGAGGCUAAGGCAGGAGAAUUGCUUGAACCCAGGAGGCGGAGGUUACAGAGAGCUGAGAUCACCCCACUACACUCCAGCCUGGGCAACAGAGCAAGACUCUGUCUCGAAAAAAUUGUAGACAUAGGGUCUCCCUGUGUUGCCCAGGAUGGCCUCAAAAGAACUCCUGGGCUCCAGCGACCCUCCUGCCUCAGCUUCCCAAAGCACUGGAAACACAGGCAUGAGCUACCAUGCCCAGCAGUCACCCCCAUUUUGCAGAUGCAGAAACUGAGGCCUGGAGAGUUACUAACUAUCCAAAGCAACUCACUCGUCAACUCUGCCACUGCAGCUCAAAAGCAGCCACAGGCAAUAAGGAAGCAGAUGAGCAUAGCUGGGGCCAGCAGCAUUCUUAGUGUCCGGUGUCUUUCACUCGGCAUCAUUAUCUGAGAUUUGUUCAUGUGAUUCUGUGUAUGACUGUGCAUUCUUUUACUGGGGAUGGGGAUUGAACUGUAUGGAUGUAUGAUGCUUUGCUUGCCCAUUGACCUACGAUUAGAUAUGGCAGAGGGGGUGUUAUGCUGUCCUGGACUCUCACAAAGUUGCUGGGAACCUUCCUGGAGGAGCUUUUAUGUAUUUUUUUGGGACAGAGUCUCACUCUGUCGCCCAGGCUGGAGUGCAAUGGCCCGAUCUAGGCUCACUGCAACCUCUGCCUCCCAGGUUCAAGCGAUUCUCCUGCCUCAGCGUCCUGAGUAGCUGGGAUUACAGGCACCCGCCAUCACACCCGGCUAAUUUUUGUAUUUUUAGUCGAGAUGGGAUUUCGCCAUGUUGGUCAAGCUGGUUUCAAACUCCUGACCUCAGGUGAUCUGCCCGCCUCAGCCUCCCAAAGUGCUGGGAUCACAGGUGUGAGCCACCACAUCCGGCCUCAUGGAGGAACUUUUAUAUGAAUAUUUGCUUCUGGCUAGGCGUGGUAGCUCAUGCCUGUCAUCCCAGCACUUUGGGAGGCCAAGGCAUGAGGAUUGCUUGAGGCCAGGAGUUCAAGACCAGCUGGGGUAACAUGACAAGACACAAGACCACGUCUAUACACAAAAUACAAACAUUUAGCUGGGCAUGGUGGUGCACACCUGUGGUCCCAGCUACUCCAGAGGCUGAAGUGGGAGGAUGGCUUGAGCCCUGAAGGCAGAGGUUGCAGCGAGCUAUGAUCGUGCCGUUGCACUCUAGGCUGGGCAACAGAGUGAGACCCUGUCUCAAAAAUAAAUAAAAUAGGCUGGGUGUGGUGGCUCACGCCUGUAAUCCCAGCACUUUGGGAGGCUGAGGCAGGCAGAUCACCUGAGGUCAGGAGUUCGAGACCAGCCUGGCAGACAUGAUGAAACCCUGUGUCUACUAACAAGGCAAAAAUUAGCCGGGGGUGGUGGCACAUGCCUGUAAUCCCAGCUACUCAGGGGGCUGAGACAGGAGAAUCGCUUGAACCUGGGAGGCAGAGGUUUCAGUGAGCCGAGAUCAUGCCAUUGCGCUCUAGCCUGGGCGACGAGGCAAAACUCUGUCUCAAAAAAUUAAUUAACUAAUUAAUUAAAAUAAAAUAAAAACAUAUGUUUCUUGGUCAAAGGCUGAGGAAUGGGAUGGGUCCCCUACCAAGUGCAUUUCUGUAAAAUUCAUUGCAUGGUCAUUUGCUUUCUUUCUUUUCCUUCCCUUUCUUUUCUUUCCUUUCUUUCCUUUUUCUACAGGGUCUCACUGUGUUGCCCAGGCCACAGUGCAGUGGCCUCAUCAUGGCUCACCGCAGCCUCCAACUCCUGGGCUCAAGCAGUCCUCCCACCUCAGCCUCCUGAGCAGCUGGGACUACAGGCAUGUACCACCAUGCCCAGCUAAUAUUUGUAUUUUUAGUAGAGAUGGGGUUUCACCAUGUUGCCCAGUCUGGUCUCAAACUCCUGGGCUCACAUAACUCACCCGUCUUGGCCUCCCAAAGUGCUGGGAUGACAGGUGUGAGCCACCAUGUCUGGCAAGAAUUUUUGUUCCCCUUUGACAGAGUGAUUUAGCUCCUGGGUCUCUACCGUAGGGAAGGAAAAGGGC